UGCCGGGACAAGAUCGCGGACGUUCUCUUUCCGCGGUCAGCGAUUUUGCAUCGGAAUGAGCUACGCUCGUGCGCGCGCUCUUCUCUCCCCCCCCCCUUCUUUCUAUAUAUUUAUAUUAAUUUAUUUAUAUAUCCUUCUGUUUCCCUUAUAGUAGAAAAUUGAAGUGCACGCUUCUUUUCGCGUGUCUCUUGAAAUUUGACAAAAUGAUCAGUUUGCGUGAUAAUGCGCGGUGUUGCACUUUAUAGAUUUGUGUAACGAGUCAAUCGAUUACUUUUGAAAUACCGAAGGUUGUCGAAUAAAUUUAUAAUAUUCGCAGCGUGUUGAUAUAAUCUGAUUUCCUUGCCGAGCUCGGUCACAACAUAGUGGAUCAAUGUAUUUGCAAUAAAUAUGAGCGCGUAAAUACCGUCGCGUACGGUCAUUAAUUAUUCGUCUGUUGACAGAAAUACAAUUGCAGUGAUUCGCCCCUGUAUUUAUCUAAUACUUUGAACCGAGUGUCGAACAAUUCUAAAAUUGUGUAACAAUUCUUAUCUUCAAUAUCAUCAUCUAAUGUAAUCUUAAUAAAAUUAAAAAAAUAUUUCAUUACAAAUACAAAUAGAAUACGUAAUUGUUUCAUUAUUAAAAUUAUAUAAAUUAUCAAUGAAAGGCAAAGUUUUAACUCGAGCAAACUUUUUGUUGAUCUUAUAUUGUGUCUUCAAUUUCCGAUUGAUGAAAUUUUGAAAGCUUUGAAGACCAAAACUUUUGGAACUUUAAGAUAGAUAAUUUUAAUUAUUCAAUUACCGACUUAAGAUAGCUUGCAGCUUUAGUCAGAAAUUGUUAUGAAUUGCAUAUUCAAUUUUAUUACUUUUUGCUUUAAAUUAAGGAAGAAAUUUGUUCGGGGCAAUUUAUAAUAAGGACACAAAUAUAUUGCCUUAAUUACAAUCUACUCGAUAAUUAUGUCGCAUUAAUUUUUUCCAAGUAGUCUAGUGGUAAUAUGAAUUUCUAAAUGUUAAAAGAAUUUGUUCUUUCAAAUUUUUUACGCAUUAAUUUACACAAUAAUUUGCGAUAAUUCGUGAAGAGCCGCUGCUAAGUGAAAAUUACAAAUUUGUUUCCGCGUGGGAUCGUAUUCAUAGCAGCGCGCGGGAAGCGGUUUUCGUGUAUAAAUUUACCAGCGAACAGCCUGCGACGUAAUUACGAAACUUCCUUAAUUUCCGCAGAUCCUUUGUGCUUUGAUUUACGUCCCGUAAUGGCGGCGAUUAUUUCCUGCGGAUUCGUACGACGUAUCCUCACGCCGCAGAAAAUUCAGCCUGGUGCUGCGACCACCACACUGGCCGAGCCAUGGAUCGGUUGUUAUAUCGGUGCGGUAAAAGAAACCUGAGCGGGAGCCCGGAGCUCCGCUUGCUCGCGGAGCUAACCCGUCGCGGGGGAGCCAACAUCGCCGUGCUAACUUGCACCGCAAGAUCGUACAAUCCCUUUGUGAAACCUGCAACUCGCCUUUUCUCUCCAAAGAAUAAAAGUUUCCUGAGCAGACUACGGCGACACGAGUUUUGUUCGUGUGAGAUAAUAAAAUCUUUUCCUUGUAAAAUGAAAUGUAUGUUUUAUCUAUAUUUUAUUUAAACAUAAUUCCUCCCUCCCCUCUUUCUGUCUUUCCUUUACUUAUUAAUAUUUUGUUUUUAUUGUGUAACAAAUUUAAGUGUGAAGAUACAUGUGCUGAGACGAAUGCUGUUAUUACUGCUGUUAUUACUGCUGUUAACCUUUUGCAGAACUGUCGCGCGGUUUCCUUCAUUGCGAAAUUACCGAAGAGAUGCUCUAACGUUAAUCGUUCUAAUAUUACUAGGACAAGGCUCUUCCUCGCGACACGACAUCAUUGAGCGUCGAUGUCGAUGGAAGUUAUUCGGAGCAGCUUGUUGACGCGACGCGCUCGGAACCCGGCAGUUAUUUCCACGCUGAAUAUUGUAUCAAUUUUAACACCGUGCGCACGGAACGAGACAGGUUGAGUCAAUAUACGUGAUACGUAGGUGUGACAUCCAACUCGAUUAAGCAUCACGACGAACCUUCGUCGUGUCGGUCCGUAUUAGUACGGAUGCCGCGCUCGUGCGUAUGCGUCUCGCAGGUGUGAAAUGUCAAAAGCGCGACGCCGCGAAGCCAAACAUAGUCGGACUCAGCGCGGCGUAAAGCUGACACGAGAUGCGUUCGUACGAUUGAAAUAAUAUUCAUUGUAGAAUAAUCAGCAGAGCCAACGAAUCGUGAUAUUUUACGAGAGAGAGAGAGAGAGAGACAUACUUCAUUUUCGAGCGACAGAUUCAACACUAAAUGACAAGUGUCGUAUUGUUAUGUCUUUACCAAACUUCAACUUGAGAUUAGAGUUCCGUGGCACUGGUCAUAUUCUACACAAAAUAAUUGUACCCGAUCAGAAUAUUCUACACAAAUAUAUUGUACACAAAAAAAUGGUACGUGGGAAAACCGUGCACAGGAAUUAUCUUUCAAUUAAAAAUUGCACACGGAUAUAUUGUGCAUAGAAAAACUGUACAGUAUUAGACAGUUUUUCUAAUUUUUUUGUGUACAAUUAUUUUGUGUAGAAUAUGAUCAGUGCCGAGUUUCGUUUCAAGUUAUUAAUAAAUUAGUUGAUUUCCGAGGGAAAGGGUAUAGAAAUAUGGAGAGCUUGUGAUUAGAAAAUUCCGUCACGCGUUCGUCGAGUCGUCCCUUAAGGCGCGGCGUAUCAUCAUUACACCUCUCUGAACGUAACUGAAAACAGCUCGCUCCGGUACCGGAGCAAAGUUUGCUUUUCAUCACGCGACUAAGCUCGCGAUAUCCGCGUGCACUGAACGUGAAAUGAAUUUUAUCGAUUCUCGCGACCGAGAUAGGUCGUAAAGCUGUGUCGGCCCGGCAUUCGAUUGCCUCACAAUGAGAGCGGAAUUCGUCGACGUACGAGUUUUCGAAACUCGACGCGGCGGCAGUUGCAUCUGCUUGACGGAACUCGAAUGGUAGGGGGCAUCCUAUAAAGUGAAGCCUCAAGUGUGGGGCGAUCAACGAGACGGGAAAUCGACAGUAGUAUCCGUCCGUGUUUCCAAGUGGGAUUCGGGGGAGACCUGGGAGACCGCAAGUAACGUGCUCGCGCGUUUAGUUUGGAAAAUCAAUAGCGUAAUUCCACGAAAUCAAAGAGCAAAUUCGGUAAUCGUAAAACAGCCCGUAUUCUUAUCUCGCGAUUGCGAAAAAGCAGACGUGUAGAGACGCGUGACUAAUUCGAGACUGAUAAUCAUUAAAAAGUAUUGCAUUUAUCUAUAGAUACCGGAGAUUGUUAAAUUGAAAAAUUAAAACUGUCUCAGUGAGACAGUUAUUCUCGUGAAAGUAGAGUGACACGUCUUGAGUGGCGCAUCUGCCGUGAUCGCGCUGUAAUAAAUGCCGUGCCCCACAACGAUCUUUUACAGCGAUUUUCUCGGCGCCCGGAAUGACACGACCGAGAAAUUCGCAGAGCAUUCGGGGAGGCAAAGGGGAGAGGAGGGGACGCCCGCGCGCCGUCGGGAAUUUUGCAGCCGAUUGUGCGGCCUCUCGCGCGCUGGAAUGCCCCCGUCGCACGCGUGCCGCGCGCGUAUAUUCUCUGUUCUACAAGUGUUUAUACACGUCCGGCGCAUACCAUAGCCCGCGCGCACGCUAACUAACGAGAUGUUUCAUAACGGCGGAUUUAGCGCGCGCGGCCGCCGACCCGGAACGGUUCCCUAAUCACCACGGCGACGGCAAUUAAUACGGGGGAUGGCGCGAAGCGGGCGGCAGAGACGCCAGUAGUAGCGCCGGGGCAGUUGCUUCGAUUUACGGCGUCUCGAAAUUAAUUUCUCGCACCCGCGAUCGUCCUUUCUCCCCCCCCCCUUCCGCGUGAUUUCAUUCUCAUUCCCCGCGACUUGAUAAAUCACGCCUCUCCCUCCCCUCCCUGUGUAAUCACGCGUGUGACGCGUCUCGCGUCGUGGAAAGGCCGAAAGUUUCGUGCGCGCGCGAAUUAAUUGAUAUAGCGGCAGGGAAAAAUUGCGGUUGCCUGACGCGUCGCAAUAAGGAAACGUUAAUAUUACAAAAUUAAUGACCCUUAUUCCAAAGUCGUUUAGAAAUCGAAACAUCGCGACACGAUUAUUUCGAUGGAUUCACGGAACGAAAAGGCUGUGGCUACUCCUUGUUUGCAGGGACGAAAUUAAUGUCGCGGCGGUGCUCAUUAACGGCCUUUAAAGGCGUUGUUUUUAUACCACGAAUGUGGCACGCGAAAUUUCACUCGCGGUAUUGCUAUGUAAUAAUUGCAAUUACACGGGUAAAUCGAUAAUUAGUGGACGCGGAUGUCGCGAAAAUUGGUAUAAUAAAUUCGAAAUAAGGACAGAAAGCUGCAACACGCUCGCGCGGUCUUAUCCUCUCUCUCCCCGUCCCCCGUUCUCUUAAUAUAUGAUUCAAUAAACGUGUUAUGGAACAAUUCAAAGGGGUCUUGUUGCAGUAUCGUGGUGCUCGUUACAAUGAAAAACUCGCGGAAGGGGAAUUUUAACGAACGUUAUACAUCAAACGUUAUACGUCGCGAUAAAAUUUUUCGCCCGUUAACUGGAUGCGUAUUUUUAUCGAAAUAUCAUCCCGUGGCUUCUUCCCUUUCGCUUCGCGUGUCCUCGCUUUUAUUCGCGAGCCGCCGAUCGAGCAUUCAGCUUAAAAAACUACAUCGUGAGCGUUAUUUAAUUCCGUUUGCGUUCAAUUUUAUCUUGUGUUUCCGACGUAUUCUAUUCGGGAUUUGAUUUUCCGCACAUUGAAUUUCGUGAGACAGUUACCUGGCCUUCCUUACAAUUGAGCACGAAAUUGCGUCACGUGUUUUGAACAAAACACGCAAAAUACGCACGACCAAAUAAGAAAAAAAAA